AAAGAUGGAUGCGUGAUUGUGACUAUGGGGGAUACAUAUGAAAAGUGAUUGGACAAGUUAGAGGUACAACAUUGUACGGAAAUGAAUUAGUUGUGAUGUAAUUGGACAUGAUGUACACUAGUCAUGACAUGCAUUAUUGAGCGAAGAUAUAUUGAAGGAGCAAUGAGGAUGGUGCGAACAGGUCAGGGGUGUGGCAGCACACAGUUGAG
rnacentral:lncRNA from 1 species